GCUGGGCAUAGCGGCGUAUGCCUGUGGUCCCAGCUACUCGGGAAGCUGAGGCAGGAGAAUUGCUUGAACCCGGGAGGCGGAGGUUACAGUGAGCUGAGAUCAUGUCACUGCACUCCAGCCUGGGUGACAGAGCAAGACUCUGUCUCAA
rnacentral:SRP_RNA from 1 species